UACGUAGGGGGCUAGCGUUGUCCGGAAUUAUUGGGCGUAAAGAGCGUGUAGGCGGUCCGGUAAGUCAGCUGUGAAAGUCAAAGGCUCAACCUUUGAAAGCCGAUGGAUACUGCAGGGCUAGAGUCCGGAAGAGGCGAGUGGAAUUCCUGGUGUAGCGGUGGAAUGCGCAGAUAUCAGGAGGAACACCGGUGGCGAAGGCGGGUCUCUGGGCCGAUACUGACGCUGAGGAGCGAAAGCGUGGGGAG
rnacentral:rRNA from 1 species